AUUUAUAUACAUACAUACAUAUUUAUUUGCAGACCUUUAAAAGAAUAGAUAACAUGUUAAAAGGCCAAGCGGUCGCACAUAUUCACGUAUGUAUGUAAUUAUGUGAGCAUGUAAACAAAUUUGCAAGAACCAUACGCAUAAUGUUUGUAAAUUUGUCUACUCACAACCUUGUAUGUAAAUGUGUACACUUAUUUCCUCAUGCGAAGCUGGGGACAACCAAUGGCCGAAGCUCACAUUUUGUCAAAGAGUCAUUGUGUCGAAAGACUGACGCGACGACAAAGCGUCAAAACAUUGUGUUGUUGGUAGAAAAUCCGAACUGUGCCGAAAACACAAACGAACGAUCGUCAAUUGCCACUGCUUGUGACAGCUUCUCCAACAAACCAGCGUAAAUAUGUAUGUUUAUGUAUGAGCUUGCAUACAUAUCGACACAUAGCAUUGCUAACGUGAUCGACGAUUAUCGUGGAUUGGUCAAAGUUGUUGCUGAUACGAGAAUUGAAUUCGAAAUCUAUGAAAAAACUGCUUUAAAUAUUUCAGAGGUAAAAGAAUAUAAAAUGACAGUUUCUAGAAAAAGAAAGAGAAAAUUACAUGCUGAUGAAUCACGGGAUGGAGAUGUACAACUGUCAGGUCGAGACCACUUUAGAGUCAACACUUUUAAUGUCAUUCUUGACAAUCUGGAUUCUGAAUUGCGAGAAAGAUGUGUUGCAGAUGAAAAGAUUCAUGAAAAGUUCUCAGUUAUUAUUGAAUUUGGUAAUUUGGAUAAUAGAGAGAUUCGUAACCGAGCUAAAUGUAUACAAAAUGUUUACUCUUCAGAUCUUGAGUCCUCAUUGGAGGACGAAUUUGUGCACUGUCAUGCUUAUUGCAUUGCAAAAAAGAUGGAACAAAAUUCACCUUCCGAUAUUCUGAAACUUUUGCGUGCAAACGACCUUUAUACAGAGUUUCCGAACGUAGAAAUAAACUCAAUAGCUUAGCUAUUUAUGCAUCGAAUCAGAUGUACUUCAACGUUUACAUAGAUUGUGAAGAUUUAAUCGACCAAUUUGCAAUUCAAAAAGUUAGACGUGUUUGCCAGUGAAAAAAAUUAUUGUGAUACAAUUAUUAGUCAAGCUCAGUGCAAAAUUUGUAGUUUUAAGAACAAGAACCUAUAUUUUUUAUAUUAUACUGAAGUAUUAUAUAUGUAUGUAUAUAAUAAAUUAUUUGCAAUACGUUAAAUCAGCCCUAUUCUGCAUUUCUACUCGAAUCGAAAUUUUCUCCGAUUGGCAACUUUGGUAUUCUGCGUUUCGAUUCAACUUCGAAAAUUCCAAUUCUAUGUAUUCUGCAUUGCGAUCGUAAUUACGUUUUUGUACGUUGAAGUUUUGUCGGCGGAAAGCCGUUAUAUAUUCAUUUUCGUGCACUUGGAUAAAAUAAUUUCCUCAAAUAUGUAAGUAAAACUUUAUGAUUAUAGUUGUAAAAGACAUAAUGGUGGUGUCCUUGGUUGUUUGUGCUUAAAUUAUAUUUUUUGAUAUGUUUGCAGGUCAAAAGUAACAACGGCAGAGCAAUACGAAAAAUUGUGUGAUAUGAUGGCCACGGAAAGAGAUAUUGCGCAGGGCUUCCAAAAGCGACCGAAGGAAGAAGUACAGGAGUUUUGGGAGGAGGUUGCAAGGAAUUUAAAUGCACUUGGCCCACCAACAAAAGAUUCCAAUACAUGGAGGUCUGGAUUGACUGAAAAUGCUACAUGAAGCGAAAAUUAUCGCAUAACAAAAAAGAAAGGAUGAGCACCGGUGGAGGUCCUUGUCGUUUACAACGCAUAAGCCCACUUGAUGAAAAGGUGAUAGCUUUGACGGGUUUGGAAAGGGAUGAUAUCCCUUCAACCAGUAGAGCUAGCAGCCAAAAUAGAGAGGCUAGAGCAGACAAUCAGAGCACUUCUUCAUUACUUAAGCAACAGAUACAAAUCAAAAAGAAUUUUAUGCAGAGACGAAAAAAUUCAAUGAAGCUGCCUUUGGUAAAAUGGAAGAAGUUACUUCAUAUUUACGGCACAUGAAUCGUUCUCUAGAAACUUUGGCGGAGACUGCAGUGAAGCAACUUGAAGAACAGAAGCGACACAACAGAAUUAAGGAAGAGCUGGUGAAGGAAAAAGUAGAAAUAAAAAUGCAAAUGCUAAGAUUAGAUCCAAAUUAUAAGCCGGAUUCAAAGUAGUAAUUUUUUAAUUGUUAGCCUUUUAUUUAUUUUACUAUUAUUCAUUUAUAUAACAAGCUGUGAAAUGAAAUAAAAGCAUUUACUUUUCUAAUAUAGGAGCUGUAAAAUGCACUGAAUGCAA